AUGAAAAGCAAGGAACCACAAGAAGAGACUUUGAGCAGCAAGGAGCCAAAAGAUGUAAUAGAUGAGAAUCCAGGCAACCCCUUGGUGCAACAAAUGAUACAUCUGAUGAAGGAUUCUGGACUGAGGGUCAUUGGUAAUAUGGAUUGGAUCCACAAGAAUGCUAAUAAAAGUGUGCACAUCCUUGAGCCAGGGGUCUCUGAUCAUGCCCUGGUGUGCAUCAGGGGUGAGGAAAACAAAAGCAGGAAAAGGCUUGAUUCAAGUUUAUAA